GCUAAUAUUGUUUUAAUAAAUGCCCUUUUUGUGUAGAAAUGCUUGUUUGGUUUCUGAUAGUUGUAACCUAAAGAAUCUUUAGUAAGCCAUUGGUCUGCUGAGGGGAGGGUCGAGAUGAAACUGGAGCGUUGGUUGAACCUAGAUCAUAAAGUGACUCCAACAUCUUCAUACCAGGGAAAGGAGGAAGCUGUGCUGUGAAGGAUCCUUUUUCAUCAUGAUUAUUGCAUCCACAGAAGCAGUGAUAAAUUCUAAUAGAUGAUGCAACUCAGUCUACUUGGGUGUUCACACCUGAGACUGGAGAAGACCUGCUGCCUUCUGCAGAGCCAAACAUUCCUCACAUGCUCCUUCACAGUGCUAGUUAAUGCAGCAAGAAUAGUCUUAUAUAGACUAUAAGCUCCUGGUACACUGUGUCUACAUUGCUCACUGCAGUAUCCCAACGUCUAAGACCAUGGUCUUAGAUGUCUGGUAUAGGAGUGGUGCUCAGUAUGCAUUGAAUGAAUAAAUGAAUGAAUAUAGCAAAGCA
rnacentral:lncRNA from 1 species